UACAGAGGUCUCAACCGUUGUUCGGAUUCAUUGGGCGUAAAGGGUGCGUAGGCGGUCGCGCAAGUCGGAUGUGAAAUCUCAGGGCUCAACCCUGAAACUGCAUUCGAUACUGCGUGGCUAGAGUGCUGGAGAGGAGACUGGAAUUUACGGUGUAGCAGUGAAAUGCGUAGAUAUCGUAAGGAAGACCAGUGGCGAAGGCGAGUCUCUGGGCCGAUACUGACGCUGAGGAGCGAAAGCGUGGGGAGCGAACAGG
rnacentral:rRNA from 1 species